rnacentral:rRNA from 1 species
GACGAACGCUGGCGGCGUGCUUAACACAUGCAAGUCGAACGGAAAGGCCCUGCUUUUGUGGGGUGCUCGAGUGGCGAACGGGUGAGUAACACGUGAGUAACCUGCCCUUGACUUUGGGGUAACUUCAGGAAACUGGGGCUAAUACCGGAUAGGAGCUCCUGCUGCAUGGUGGGGGUUGGAAAGUUUCGGCGGUUGGGGAUGGACUCGCGGCUUAUCAGCUUGUUGGUGGGGUAGUGGCUUACCAAGGCUUUGACGGGUAGCCGGCCUGAGAGGGUGACCGGCCACAUUGGGAAUGAGAUACGGCCCAGACUCCUACGGGAGGCAGCAGUGGGGAAUAUUGCACAAUGGGCGGAAGCCUGAUGCAGCAACGCCGCGUGCGGGAUGACGGCCUUCGGGUUGUAAACCGCUUUCGCCUGUGACGAAGCGUGAGUGACGGUAAUGGGUAAAGAAGCACCGGCUAACUACGUG